rnacentral:rRNA from 1 species
GAGUUUGAUCCUGGCUCAGAUUGAACGCUGGCGGCAGGCCUAACACAUGCAAGUCGGGCGGUAGAGAGAAGCUUGCUUCUCUUGAGAGCGGCGGACGGGUGAGUAAUGCCUAGGAAUCUGCCUGGUAGUGGGGGAUAACGCUCGGAAACGGACGCUAAUACCGCAUACGUCCUACGGAGAAAGCAGGGGACCUUCGGCCGUUGCGCUAUCAGAUGAGCCUAGGUCGGAUUAGCUAGUUGGUGAGGUAA